CAAGUCGAACGGUGAACGGGGCUUCGGCCCCGGGAUCAGUGGCGAACGGGUGCGUAACACGUGGGCAACCUGCCCCUCACUCUGGGAUAACCCCGGGAAACCGGAGCUAAUACCGGAUACUCCGCUCCCACCGCAUGGCGGGAUCGGGAAAGGUCCGCCGGUGAGGGAUGGGCCCGCGGCCUAUCAGCUUGUUGGUGGGGUAACGGCCCACCAAGGCGACGACGGGUAGCUGGUCUGAGAGGACGACCAGCCACACUGGGACUGAGAUACGGCCCAGACUCCUACGGGAGGCAGCAGUGGGGAAUCUUGCACAAUGGGCGAAAGCCUGAUGCAGCGACGCCGCGUGAGGGAUGAAGGCCCUCGGGUUGUAAACCUCUUUCGGCAGGGACGAAGCGAUCGUGACGGUACCUGCAGAAGAAGCCUCGGCUAACUACGUGCCAGCAGCCGCGGUAAGACGUAGGAGGCGAGCGUUGUCCGGAUUCAUUGGGCGUAAAGAGCGCGCAGGCGGCUUGGUAAGUCGGAUGUGAAAACCCGAGGCUCAACCUCGGACGUGCAUCCGAUACUGCUCGGCUAGAGGUAGGUAGGGGAGAUCGGAAUUCCUGGUGUAGCGGUGAAAUGCGCAGAUAUCAGGAGGAACACCGGUGGCGAAGGCGGAUCUCUGGGCCUUACCUGACGCUCAGGCGCGAAAGCUAGGGGAGCGAACUGGAUUAGAUACCCAGGUAGUCCUAGCUGUAAACGUUGGGUGCUAGGUGUGGGCGGAUAUCGACCCCGUCCGUGCCGAAGCUAACGCAUUAAGCACCCC
rnacentral:rRNA from 1 species